AGUGAACGCUGGCGGUAGGCCUAACACAUGCGAGUCGAACGGCAGCACAGUAAGAGCUUGCUCUUACGGGUGGCGAGUGGCGGACGGGUGAGGAAUACAUCGGAAUCUACUUUUUCGUGGGGGAUAACGUAGGGAAACUUACGCUAAUACCGCAUACGACCUACGGGUGAAAGCAGGGGAUCUUCGGACCUUGCGCGAUUGAAUGAGCCGAUGUCGGAUUAGCUAGUUGGCGGGGUAAAGGCCCACCAAGGCGACGAUCCGUAGCUGGUCUGAGAGGAUGAUCAGCCACACUGGAACUGAGACACGGUCCAGACUCCUACGGGAGGCAGCAGUGGGGAAUAUUGGACAAUGGGCGCAAGCCUGAUCCAGCCAUACCGCGUGUGUGAAGAAGGCCUUCGGGUUGUAAAGCCCUUUUGUUGGGAAAGAAAAGCAGCAGGUUAAUACCCCGCUGUUCUGACGGUACCCAAAGAAUAAGCACCGGCUAACUUCGUG
rnacentral:rRNA from 1 species